GUGAAUCAUCAAAUUUUUGAACGCAAAUUGCACUCUCUUCGGAGAGUAUGCCUGUUUGAGGGUCAGUAUUAAUAAAAAUCGGUGUGUUGCUUCUUUGUGAUGCUCCGGAGUUUGGGUCAUCUUAAUAUCAUUUAGGUGUUAUUAGGCUUAUAAUUGACUUUUUUUGCGUUUUUUUAGACGUUCAUAAAUUUUUUUUUUUAUUUGUCUUUUCUUUUUUUAAAAAUCUUAUUCGUUGCAAUU
rnacentral:misc_RNA from 1 species